UGAUUACGUGGUUAUCGACGCACUAAUCGAAUCGAUUGUGUUCAAUUGCAUAAAAAGUGAUUAUUCUCUCCAAUGUGUUAUGUAGUUAAAUCAUUAGUUUUUUUGGGGGGCUAAGCCCCCAGCCUCCUCUAUUUGCGCCUAUGAUGUUUGCGUUUAAUUGAAACAAAUAUUAAAAACGCUAGACAUAUGGGAAAAAUCAAAAUUGGAAUGGACGUUACUGCUUCUGAGUUUUACGUAUCAUUGGGAAGCAUGGACUAAUUUUAUUGCAUCCACUGACAUCCAGUAUGGUACUGGGCACUGGUACUUACUUCGUGGUGUGCGAAGUUGCCGAGCGACGCCCACAGGACGCUCAUCUUGAUGAGUGAUGAGUUCUGCAGAAGGCAAAACUAGCAGCGUACUGAUCGAUCAUUAUGACUGAAUUAUUUUUAACAAUGUCGCGAUUAUCGUCAUUGUCCUGUGUUUCAAUUCAGAGGUCGUGUGGUAGCAGAAAAAAGAAGUCUAACAUUUUUUUAAAAUAUAAAUGCAAAUAUAUAUAUAUAUGAAAUUUUAAGUAUUUUUUUUGUAUCCGUAGGUUUGCAGAUAUUAUUAAAUCAUUUAAAUUUAAUUUUGAGGAAUUAAUUAACCUCAAUUAGACGUAAUCUAGUAAAUACUUAAAAUUUCAUAAUAAUUCAUAAAAUUCUAGUAUGAUUGUUGAAAAAUUCAAAAAUUUUAAUCGAAACUUUGACUGGUUGCCAUUUAGUCAAUUUUGAUUUUAGAGCUAUGGUAAAAAGGACCAAAUCGACUUAAAAAAAAUCGGUCUAUCCGAAUUUGGUAUUCAAUAGACCUGUUGCCAUUUAAAAAAAUGCAAGUUGUAAUGCGCAUGCGCACACGGAAAGAUCUAAAAAAUGUAAAAAUCAUCAAGAAAUGUGUAUUUAUGUAUUCCCUAUCCCCUUCCGAAAACCGCAUAUUAAUCCGAUGUCACUGGACAGAAUUAUUUAGUGUUAUCUUUAAAAGGAAUCGCACUGUAUAAUGUAGUAUUACAUAAUAUCUUAUGAUGUCUAAAUAAUUGUAUAGUUAUAAUCAAAAAAAAUACGAAUAAUAAGGUAUUACCGAUAAACGAAUAAAAAUAAAACGAUAGCGACGGCGACGUCCGAGUGUCCGACAACUGGUAAGUCUCGUAGGCCAAAUAUUGGGAAAAACAAGACCAUUUUAUAAAUAGCUUCAAACGAAUAGACCAGUUAUAAUUACAUUUAUAAAUUUAUCAUUAUAUAAUAUAUUUUCAUUCUUCAUUCAUCAUUGAUCAUUCGUGUUCGUCUAUCGUGUUUGAGUUGACGUUUUAUUUAGUACCUACACCUAUAUAAAUUUAAUUUCGUUUUUACUAAAGAAAAAAUGUUCAGUAUUUUUAAUAUUAAAAAAAAAUCUUGUGAUCGACUAAAUGUGCCGGAACAUACGCCUUCGACUUCAAGUACAAUUGCAGAUGAAAACUAUGAAGAAAAAGAAGAAAAUACAACGGAUAAUAAUAUAAUCUGUGAUGUGCAUAUAAAUGAUGAACUUGAUUUGGGAAAUUUAAGUACAGGACCUCGUCAACCAAUAUUAAAGGAGUAUUCUAAGAAAAAAUUAGGCAAUCAAAAUCGAAGAUUUACAUCUUAUUAUUUUAGUGAGUUCAAUUGGCUUGAAUACAGUAUAAAAAAAGAUAGCGUGUUUUGUUUCCCAUGCCGUAUUUUUUCAACUGCUCGACAAACGGAAGAUACAUUUACUGUAACACGAUUUAAUAACUGGAAGAAACUUUGUUGUGGAUCAUAAGAUUCUAAGACAAAAAAUCAAAACUGAGUUUGCACGCUUCAACGAUUAACCACAUUAAUUGUAUGUCAAGAUGGUUAGAAUAUAAACGUUCUUUAAACCAAGGUAGUAUCAUCUCCAAAUUAUCAACAGUCAAUAAGGAGCACAUUGACAAAAACACCGGCAGUAUAUUAAAUGUUUUAAUUGAUAUAGUUAUAUUUCUUGGACGGCAAGGACUUCCAUUUAGGGGUCAUCGAGAAAAUGCAGAUGCUUUAAAUAAAGGUAAUUUUAAAGAGCUGUGCAUAUUGUUUUCCAAGAAAAAAUAUAUUUCUAACUCAAUUAACCAUACUAGUUGGGCCAUUCAAAACGAUUUAAUAAAUUUGUGCUUCAUAUGUGAGAGAUAAUAUUGUUUCUGAAGUUAAAAAAUGUGGCAUGUUUUCCAUUUCAUGUGAUGAAGCCAGAUCUCAUAAAGAAGAAGAGCAAAUGUCCAUCUGUAUCCGUUAUACCAACAAUUUAGAGGUGAAAGAACAUUUUUUAGGAUUUGUUGAAAUGUCAUAGUCAAACUGCUGAUGCAUUGUAUUCAUCUAUCGUCAACUUUUUACAAUUUUGUGAUCUAUCUGAUAUUCCAAUUGUUGGUCAGUCUUUUGAGGGAGCAAAUGUUAUGUCGGGUAAUAAAGGAGGUGUCCAAACUAAACUUAAACAAAUUUAUCCAUACGCUAUAUAGAUUCAUUGCAUGGCACACAAAUUAAAUUUAGUGAUUGUGGACUCAUGUAAACAUUUAAAGGUAUUUCAACAAUUAAGUCUGAUUAUUUUGUAGUACAUUUAUUCAUAUUAGAGGAAGUCUUAAAAAUUAUUCAUAUACUACCAAAUCACAUUUACAAUCAAAAUCAGCAACCUUAGGUAAUUCCAAAUGUUUAAUAGAUGGAGUAAUUACAACUUUACAACAAUGUCGCGAUUUUGAACAACAUUAUGAUAAACUUUGGAAUGAAAUGCUUGAAUUUAGUACAAAACAUGAAAUUUCUCUUGAAAUUCCUUUGCAAUCUGUAUCUAGGAAGAGAUAAUGAAAAGAGUCAUCUCAACUCAAAGAUUUUGUUUUUUUGUCAACUACUAGUGCUAGUGAUGAUCAUAUUGUAGAAAUGAAAAAAGAGUGAUGGAAAAAGAAAGCGUAUUAUUGUAUAUAUUAGAUUCAAUUAUCAAUAUUUUAAAAAUAUGAAUUUCCGAAGAAAGUCUUCAAGUUGCAUCAUUGGUAGAUAGUUAACUAAAAUUGAAUUUUGAAGUUUCUUCAUUUUUAGUUGGUCAUUAUAAGGAUUUAUUUGGAAUUGCCGAUCAGUCAUUGAAGUCUGAAAUGUCUGUUUUAAGAAACAUUUUGGGUGAAAACCCUAGUUUAGAGCAAAUUAAACAUCAUUUGGCAUUAUACAAUGGUAAAGUAUUUCCAAAUUUUUCC